rnacentral:rRNA from 1 species
GAUGAACGCUGGCGGCGUGCUUAACACAUGCAAGUCGAACGGGAAACCUUUUAUUGAAGCUUCGGCAGAUUUAGCUGGUUUCUAGUGGCGGACGGGUGAGUAACGCGUGGGUAACCUGCCUUAUACAGGGUGAUAACAACCAGAAAUGGUUGCUAAUACCGCAUAAGCGCACAGGACCGCAUGGUCCGGUGUGAAAAACUCCGGUGGUAUAAGAUGGACCCGCGUUGGAUUAGCUAGUUGGCAGGGUAACGGCCUACCAAGGCGACGAUCCAUAGCCGGCCUGAGAGGGUGAACGGCCACAUUGGGACUGAGACACGGCCCAGACUCCUACGGGAGGCAGCAGUGGGGAAUAUUGCACAAUGGGGGAAACCCUGAUGCAGCGACGCCGCGUGAAGGAAGAAGUAUCUCGGUAUGUAAACUUCUAUCAGCAGGGAAGAUAGUGACGGUACCUGACUAAGAAGCCCCGGCUAACUACGUG